GCGUCCCCGUCGUCUAGUGGUUAGACACCGCCCUUUCACGGCGGCAACACGGGUUCGAGCCCCGUCAGGAUGCC
rnacentral:tRNA from 1 species